GUGUGUGCGUGUGACGAAAAAUGAUGGAUGAAAAACUCUGGUCUGAAGUCUUUCGUUGGUCACACACACUACCAGCAUUGCAUCUACCAGCGGAUUGCGCUAUACCGAGUCUACCCAUCUCUCUCGAUCUACCAUGUUUUUUUCUGCUAUCGCACUUAUCCGGGAGUUAGGCAUCCUCAGUCUGUCCAGAACUUUCGUUGUGGAAGGAUGUGCGGGAGUGAUAUGCGAUUUCUUGUGUCCCCUACUUUCCUUGUUUACGUUUUGCGCAGUGUUGUUUCUUCUUCCAUUGUGGAAUGAUUUAUCCUAGCUAACUUGUUGAGGUGCAUGCGCCAUUCAUCAACGCCUACGUGUUGGCAUCAUCAACAAUCUUCAAAGUGGGUGACGGAAAGAAAUUGUUUUCCAGUUUUAAAAUAUUAAGCGUUCAGCACAACUCAGCCACAAAACAACGCACUGGAUUACGCUAAGAACCUGUCGAAACGCGCGCAGCCCCCGGGUGCAGUAGGAGAAAGGAAGAACGAGAGGAGAAAACUAAAGCCAGCGCGCAGCUCUGAUGGUACCCCGUACGCGGUAAGAAGAAAAAAGAUCGAGAGGAGGAAGAACGGUAAAUUUGGAAGGGGGAGACCGUUCUGCCGUCUCCACAGUGUGAGUACCCAACCGGCAUUAUCGCGCGAUUUUUAUGUGUAUCUAUCAUUUUUCUUAUUCUAACAUUCAGAAAAAUUUUCAUUCUGUCUUGCUCUUCUGGGUGUUGGUCACUUUUUGCUCGCAACUUGGCUGUGUCACAUCAACCAUCCUCAUGUUUCAUAUGGCUCUUCUCUUUCCAUCGUUCGAGAGAAACUCUUGUGUCUCGCUUUUCUGGGACUUGUCCAAUUUCGCUAGCUACAUCAAUCGUUCACGCAAGCGUUCUCCUCUCGCCCGCUAUUUGUAUCAUUGUACAGGUACUCCCCGAUAUACGCUAUCAAUGCGGACCGGAGACAAUAACGUAUCUCGAAUAUUAGCGAAAGUCGAAUUUCGAGGUUUUAUUAUAGCUAAUUUUCGUAUAAUUUUGCAUGAAUUGGUAGGUUUUAGCCACUAAAUUAGUUAUUUGAUCUGAUAUCAACUGAAAAUUACAAUGUUAUACCUUUUGAAAUGGUUUUUAGUAUUAAAAAAAAGGGAAUUUAUUUUGCAUUCGACAUUCGAUUUCCCAAAUUAGUACAAUUUGCUCAAAGAACUAUCAAAUAUAGAAAAAAGCGUAUAGCGAAAUCGCGUGUUUCGAGUAUGGCGUAUACCGAGGAAUACCUGUAUAUUCUCACGAGGAAGGCGCUGGUUCGCGUUCUCAUGAAAAAGUGGUAGUGUGAAAUCAAGUUUGCAAGCAGAAGGACGAGUCGAUGCGUGCUCGUUUUUUCUCUCGUGAAACCACUACGGAAAAACUAUUUGGCAAGUACAGCUUUUAAUAAAGGGUUACAUCAAUCUUUAUCAAACUAAAUGGUAUUAAUAAUCGUGGUAUCAAAUCAUAUUCAUUUUCUAUAGAAAUCGUAACACACGCACGAACGGAAGUGAGCACGGACCACAAUAGAAACAAUAUUCAAUUGGUUGCAGUGCCGAAAACAACAGAACAGGAGAGGAAAGAAGGCAGGCACGAUCCUCCAACGUGCUACCGCCUGGGAGAGGAGAAGCAGCAGGAAAGUAGGGACGAUCAUCCAGCGCGCUAGCGCAGCAUGUGGGAGCAGCGAGAGGGAGGCAAGCAGGAAGAAUUUUUAACGUGUGGACACCAUUCGACGAAGACAACUCUGGAUGAAAGGAAGAACGCGGAGAGAAGGCAGGCAAGACGGGUACGUGUGUAUCCCGCACCGGUUUUCGGCAGUGUGAAUUGUGUGAGUAUGUACAUUUGUAUGUGUGAGUAAAAAGGUAAAAUAAAGAGCGUAAGCA